CUGUGAGCUCGAUGAGUAGGGCGGGACACGUGGUAUCCUGUCUGAAUAUGGGGGGACCAUCCUCCAAGGCUAAAUACUCCUGACUGACCGAUAGUGAACCAGUACCGUGAGGGAAAGGCGAAAAGAACCCCGGCGAGGGGAGUGAAAAAGAACCUGAAACCGUGUACGUACAAGCAGUGGGAGCCUCUUUUAUGGGGUGACUGCGUACCUUUUGUAUAAUGGGUCAGCGACUUAUAUUCUGUAGCAAGGUUAACCGAAUAGGGGAGCCGAAGGGAAACCGAGUCUUAACUGGGCGUUAAGUUGCAGGGUAUAGACCCGAAACCCGGUGAUCUAGCCAUGGGCAGGUUGAAGGUUGGGUAACACUAACUGGAGGACCGAACCGACUAAUGUUGAAAAAUUAGCGGAUGACUUGUGGCUGGGGGUGAAAGGCCAAUCAAACCGGGAGAUAGCUGGUUCUCCCCGAAAGCUAUUUAGGUAGCGCCUCGUGAAUUCAUCUCCGGGGGUAGAGCACUGUUUCGGCAAGGGGGUCAUCCCGACUUACCAACCCGAUGCAAACUGCGAAUACCGGAGAAUGUUAUCACGGGAGACACACGGCGGGUGCUAACGUCCGUCGUGAAGAGGGAAACAACCCAGACCGCCAGCUAAGGUCCCAAAGUCAUGGUUAAGUGGGAAACGAUGUGGGAAGGCCCAGACAGCCAGGAUGUUGGCUUAGAAGCAGCCAUCAUUUAAAGAAAGCGUAAUAGCUCACUGGUCGAGUCGGCCUGCGCGGAAGAUGUAACGGGGCUAAACCAUGCACCGAAGCUGCGGCAGCGACACUAUGUGUUGUUGGGUAGGGGAGCGUUCUGUAAGCCUGUGAAGGUGUGCUGUGAGGUAUGCUGGAGGUAUCAGAAGUGCGAAUGCUGACAUAAGUAACGAUAAAGCGGGUGAAAAGCCCGCUCGCCGGAAGACCAAGGGUUCCUGUCCAACGUUAAUCGGGGCAGGGUGAGUCGACCCCUAAGGCGAGGCCGAAAGGCGUAGUCGAUGGGAAACAGGUUAAUAUUCCUGUACUUGGUGUUACUGCGAAGGGGGGACGGAGAAGGCUAUGUUGGCCGGGCGACGGUUGUCCCGGUUUAAGCGUGUAGGCUGGUUUUCCAGGCAAAUCCGGAAAAUCAAGGCUGAGGCGUGAUGACGAGGCACUACGGUGCUGAAGCAACAAAUGCCCUGCUUCCAGGAAAAGCCUCUAAGCAUCAGGUAACAUCAAAUCGUACCCCAAACCGACACAGGUGGUCAGGUAGAGAAUACCAAGGCGCUUGAGAGAACUCGGGUGAAGGAACUAGGCAAAAUGGUGCCGUAACUUCGGGAGAAGGCACGCUGAUAUGUAGGUGAAGUCCCUCGCGGAUGGAGCUGAAAUCAGUCGAAGAUACCAGCUGGCUGCAACUGUUUAUUAAAAACACAGCACUGUGCAAACACGAAAGUGGACGUAUACGGUGUGACGCCUGCCCGGUGCCGGAAGGUUAAUUGAUGGGGUUAGCGGUAACGCGAAGCUCUUGAUCGAAGCCCCGGUAAACGGCGGCCGUAACUAUAACGGUCCUAAGGUAGCGAAAUUCCUUGUCGGGUAAGUUCCGACCUGCACGAAUGGCGUAAUGAUGGCCAGGCUGUCUCCACCCGAGACUCAGUGAAAUUGAACUCGCUGUGAAGAUGCAGUGUACCCGCGGCAAGACGGAAAGACCCCGUGAACCUUUACUAUAGCUUGACACUGAACAUUGAGCCUUGAUGUGUAGGAUAGGUGGGAGGCUUUGAAGUGUGGACGCCAGUCUGCAUGGAGCCGACCUUGAAAUACCACCCUUUAAUGUUUGAUGUUCUAACGUUGGCCCCUGAUCGGGGUUGCGGACAGUGUCUGGUGGGUAGUUUGACUGGGGCGGUCUCCUCCUAAAGAGUAACGGAGGAGCACGAAGGUUGGCUAAUCCUGGUCGGACAUCAGGAGGUUAGUGCAAUGGCAUAAGCCAGCUUGACUGCGAGCGUGACGGCGCGAGCAGGUGCGAAAGCAGGUCAUAGUGAUCCGGUGGUUCUGAAUGGAAGGGCCAUCGCUCAACGGAUAAAAGGUACUCCGGGGAUAACAGGCUGAUACCGCCCAAGAGUUCAUAUCGACGGCGGUGUUUGGCACCUCGAUGUCGGCUCAUCACAUCCUGGGGCUGAAGUAGGUCCCAAGGGUAUGGCUGUUCGCCAUUUAAAGUGGUACGCGAGCUGGGUUUAGAACGUCGUGAGACAGUUCGGUCCCUAUCUGCCGUGGGCGCUGGAGAACUGAGGGGGGCUGCUCCUAGUACGAGAGGACCGGAGUGGACGCAUCACUGGUGUUCGGGUUGUCAUGCCAAUGGCACUGCCCGGUAGCUAAAUGCGGAAGAGAUAAGUGCUGAAAGCAUCUAAGCACGAAACUUGCCCCGAGAUGAGUUCUCCCUGACUCCUUGAGAGUCCUGAAGGAACGUUGAAGACGACGACGUUGAUAGGCCGGGUGUGUAAGCGCAGCGAUGCGUUGAGCUAACCGGUACUAAUGAACCGUGAGGCUUAACCUU
rnacentral:rRNA from 1 species